GAGGGGGAAAGCAAGGAGCUGGGGGAAGCAGACUGCAGGGAGACAGCGCCUGGAACCCCCUCCCCAGGGACCUGGCCCUGGGCCCCCAGCCCCAAAAGGGGCCCUGCCCUCCCCGGGGUCGCGCUCUCUUCCCCCCCCCCCGCCCUGCCCCCGCCCUUCAGCUUUGUGUCCCCAGGAGGGUGGGCUGCAAGAUUUCCAGCCAAGCCUUGGCUGCCUGCUCAGUUUUUCCAAACCCUCCAGUCGGAGAAGGCGGGAGCCUUGUCAGGAUAAGAGUCCCUCCCCCCUCUGCCCCUGCCGGCCCCCUGGUCCAGCUUGGAGUUUCCUGUCCUCGCAGCUUUCCAAACUCCUUUCCCUUUCCGACCCUGGCCCCAGCGCCCCCUAGCCCCACCUCUGUUGGUUCCCAAAUUCCAAGUUCAGGUUGGAGGGGCCAGGUGGACUCCACAAUCCUAGCGAGGCGCUGGUAAAGCCUCACUCUGCCGGCCGACCCAGAGACCUGCGGGGCGCCGGCCUGACUCCCGGCCUGGGCCCGCCCUGUCCCAGGACUCGGCUUCUGGCCACCAGGGAAGGUGGCUCUUGGGGUCUCCCGCUCCCGGAAGGAGGCGGUGCCGGGGACGUCGGCACAGCUGGGCGGUAAGAUAGAAACUCAUAUUUGCCCAGUUGGAGCUCGGGUUCCAUAUGAAGCUGAAGCUGCUCUUGAACUGAUCCUCCGGCCUUCCCUUCCUGUCAUGAUGAGCCCUUCAUUCAGGGCUUAUACCCCUGCCCCUCAUCUGGACCUCCCCGAUCUUGCCCAGUGCCCAGCUCCUGGGCCAUCCACCCAGAAACAUUCACUGAAGCCCUCCUGUGAACCUGGCCAGCACCUGAGACAGUCAUGCAAGGAACACAGAGACUGGAAGUUAUGAUCUGAGUCCUCAGGAAUCUCAUGCCAGCCAGAUGUACAGACAGGAGGAACGACACAUAUGGGAGUCAGUACUCUGGUGGGUGGCACUGAUGUGACAGGUGAUGGGGAACAGAAGACACAGGUUGCUACUGUUCUUUGUGAAGCAGUCAGCGCUCGCUCGGCACUGGUUGAUUUCAUUGGAGGUGAGGGGGCAGUGAGAUAGAAGGAAAAUGGCCUGGGAGAAGAAGCCUUGAGUUCUAGUCCCAGGUUCACAAUUCUAGUUGUGUAACUUGGUAAUUCCUUAAGUCACACAAGCUUCACUUUUCUCAUUUACCCCUUCCUUGUAAAUUCGUGGUGGUAACCAUUGAGAUAAUAUAGGCAAUGCUUUAAAGAA
ensembl:lincRNA C030014I23Rik RIKEN cDNA C030014I23 gene